rnacentral:lncRNA from 1 species
CAUCUUGGUUGACGAGCGAAGUGCACCAUUAGUUAUGGGUCACUUCCGUCGGUCUAUCAUUCGAAGUCUUCGCUGUCUGUGAUGGGGUUGCAGGUCUGAUCUUUUCUCUUCUUUCAGAAGCUAGGAUUGGAAGGCCUUUCCUAAUUUGUAGAAAUUCCUCUAUGUUUUCAAGUUAUUAUUUGUAUUAAGUGAAGUAACUACUCGCCUAUGCUUUCUUUGUGGGUGCAUCCCUUGUGAAAUUCCCCUAGUCUAGGUCUUUUUCUCCUUUUAGUGUGUUCGUGUAUUACUUGUACUGCUUUUCAGUGAUGGCAAUUAUAAAGGGUAUUUUCUUA